AGUGAACGCUGGCGGUAGGCCUAACACAUGCAAGUCGAACGGCAGCACAGGAGAGCUUGCUCUCUGGGUGGCGAGUGGCGGACGGGUGAGGAAUACAUCGGAAUCUACUCUGUCGUGGGGGAUAACGUAGGGAAACUUACGCUAAUACCGCAUACGACCUACGGGUGAAAGCAGGGGACCUUCGGGCCUUGAUCGAUUGAAUGAGCCGGUGUCGGAUUAGCUAGUUGGCGGGGUAAAGGCCCACCAAGGCGACGAUCCGUAGCUGGCCUGAGAGGAUGAUCAGCCACACUGGAACUGAGACACGGUCCAGACUCCUACGGGAGGCAGCAGUGGGGAAUAUUGGACAAUGGGCGCAAGCCUGAUCCAGCCAUACCGCGUGGGUGAAGAAGGCCUUCGGGUUGUAAAGCCCUUUUGUUGGGAAAGAAAUCCAGCUGGCUAAUACCCGGUUGGGAUGACGGUACCCAAAGAAUAAGCACCGGCUAACUUCGUGCCAGCCGCCGCAGUAA
rnacentral:rRNA from 1 species